UACGGAGGGUGCGAGCGUUGUCCGGAAUCACUGGGCGUAAAGGGCGCGUAGGUGGCGCGGGAAGUCAACGGUGAAAGUUCGGGGCUCAACCCUGAAUCGGCCCGUCGAUACUCCCGGGCUCGAGCACUGUAGAGGGCAGAUGGAAUUCCGGGUGUAGCGGUGGAAUGCGUAGAGAUCCGGAAGAACACCGGUGGCGAAGGCGGC
rnacentral:rRNA from 1 species